rnacentral:rRNA from 1 species
GGGGCAUGCCAUGCUGAACACUCUUGAUCUCAGAAGUUAAGUUGAGUGUGGUUAGUACUUGGAUGGAAGACAGUGGGAAUAUCAGAUGCUUCA